AUGGACUUUGCUGCAGGUUCCAUUCCAAAGAAACAUGCACAGAUUUUUACAGAGGAGUGCAAGCCUUUUCCUGAAGAUGUCCAAAUACAAUCAAUUUACCCCCUGCAAGUGCACCCAAUUCGAUAUUCUUGUCUUAGAAGGGUAUUCUCUGCUGCCCAGUAUGACUAUAAUCCGAACGAAGACUACGUCGAGACAGAGCUGAAGUUGAGGAAACAUUUGCAAUCGUUUCCCGUAACAGUAAAAUCCUUCAAUAUGACAUACACUGAGGAAAUCCAUCCUUGGACCCACAUGAUGGAGGUUUCAUGGUUGCAUGGGUUUGGUCCAGCUGCUGACCACUUGUUAGAGGCUUACAACACACUUGUAAAGGUGUAUGCCGAUCAAAUGAAGGCGCGGGCGAAGAACAACAUGACCAAGAAGUAG
rnacentral:rRNA from 1 species